rnacentral:rRNA from 1 species
ACUCAAAGGAAUUGACGGGGGCCCGCACAAGCGGUGGAGCAUGUGGUUUAAUUCGACGCAACGCGAAGAACCUUACCUGGGCUCGAACGGCUUCCCAACGGAGGUGGAAACACCUCUAUCCCGCAAGGGAGUGGAGUCGAGGUGCUGCAUGGCUGUCGUCAGCUCGUGUCGUGAGAUGUUGGGUUAAGUCCCGCAACGAGCGCAACCCUUGUCCUGUGUUGCCAGCCCGCAAGGAGGCACUCUCAGGAGACCGCCAGCGAUAAGUUGGAGGAAGGUGGGGAUGACGUCAAGUCAUCAUGGCCUUUAUGUCCAGGGCUACACACGUGCUACAAUGGGCGGUACAAACCGGCGCCAACCCGCGAGGGGGAGCCAAUCGGAAAAAACCGCUCUCAGUUCGGAUUGCAGGCUGCAACUCGCCUGCAUGAAGCUGGAAUCGCUAGUAAUGGUAUAUCAGAAUGAUACCGUGAAUACGUUCCCGGGCCUUGUACACACCGCCCGU